UUAUAGCAAUGGCUUCUCCAGGAUAGACUGGGGCUGGCGCAGAGAUGCCUCUGAUUGAUCAUUGAUCGUUUUAGGAGACAGGCAGCUGCUGCUCGUUUAUUAUCAGUGGAUUGUAGUCUUAAUGUCUGUUGCUACAAUCAAGACUCACAGCAGGUGGCAGUAGUGAUCCGUCCAAAAGGGCCCGGUUUACCAGCAGACACCCAAGAUGAGUGGAGAGAACAUCGAGACCGACCCAAAACUCGAUUAAUAAGCGGCUCUUCAAUCAACAGAGAUCGGAUUAUAAAUUCUAAUGCUCAGAUUCUGGUUGACCUUCAAGCUCCGUCUAAUUGCAAGUAACUAUGUCGAGUCCAUUCCAUUAUUCGUCCAUUUUGUUCGACAACGCUGGAAGCAAAGGAAGUUACUUCAAGGAUCCUGCCUGAAAACCUGCCUCGUUGCAUCAUCGUGAGC